AUUGAACGCUGGCGGCAUGCCUUACACAUGCAAGUCGAACGGUAACGCGGGGCAACCUGGCGACGAGUGGCGAACGGGUGAGUAAUGCAUCGGAACGUGCCUGGUAGUGGGGGAUAACUGCUCGAAAGAGCAGCUAAUACCGCAUACGACCUGAGGGUGAACGGGGGGGAUCGCAAGACCUCUCGCUAUCAGAGCGGCCGAUGUCGGAUUAGCUAGUUGGUGGGUAAAGGCCCACCAAGGCGACGAUCCGUAGCUGGUCUGAGAGGACGACCAGCCACACUGGGACUGAGACACGGCCCAGACUCCUACGGGAGGCAGCAGUGGGGAAUUUUGGACAAUGGACGCAAGUCUGAUCCAGCCAUGCCGCGUGCGGGAAGAAGGCCUUCGGGUUGUAAACCGCUUUUGUCAGGGAAGAAAUCUUCUGGGUUAAUACCUCGGGAGGAUGACGGUACCUGAAGAAUAAGCACCGGCUAACUACGUGCCAGCCGCCGCGGUAA
rnacentral:rRNA from 1 species